UUAAUAACUAUGAUGUAGCCACAUACAACGCUGCUUUUCAUCUUUUGGCCAUGAAAGCAGCCGAGCAGUUAGCAAGUGCGAUGGGUGAUACAGAUUUUGCCAAUAAAUCAAGAAAGGCGUUUGAAGUUGGACAAAUGGCUUUAGAUAAAUAUUUAUGGAACAAUACGAUGGGAUAUUAUAAUUCUUAUACACCACAUAUAAACAUGACUCAACCUAAUCCAGGUGCUAUUAUGACUGAUUGUUUUUAUUCUCAGGUCUUGGCUCACUCAGCUGGUCUUGGUGAUCUAGUUGACAGAGGGAGAUUAUCCUCUCACUUGAACGCAGAGUUAUCACACAACGAUUCUCCGUAUGGUAUGAUAGUUCAAACUGGGCGAUAUCCAUAUCCCGGGGCAUCGCAGGAUAAUGCGGUAUGGAUGAUGGGCAAUCCUAACUGGGCCUCCACGCAACUUCGUCUUGGACUUGAUCCAGAAGAAGCUCUGAAUGUAGCCAAGAAAAGCCUUGAUAGAUACCGUACUGUUCUUAACGAUCUCUGGAACGUGGCUGGUCUCUCUGGUGGAAUUGGUUAUGGCGUUGGUGGUCAACCAUUGAUGAUAAGUCACUAUGGUUACUAUAUGUCAUCGUGGCAUAUAUUGUUGGCUUUAUCUGGACAGGAAGCUGAUCUACCAUCCGGGGUAUUGACCUUUGAACCUAAAAUACCAGCUCCAUUUAAUUAUCCAGUGAUGUUACCAGGUGUAAUCGGCACUAUAUCAUCUAGUGUCAGUGAUACAAACGUAACGUCAUAUAAACUAACUCUGAUGUUUGGUCAAUUAAAUUUAAAACAU